rnacentral:rRNA from 1 species
GACGAACGCUGGCGGCGUGCCUAAUACAUGCAAGUUGAGCGAUGAAGCUUGGUGCUUGCACCAAUUUGAAGAGCAGCGAACGGGUGAGUAACGCGUGGGGAAUCUGCCUUUGAGCGGGGGACCACAUUUGGAAACGAAUGCUAAUACCGCAUAACCACUUUAAACAUAAGUUUUAAGUUUGAAAGAUGCAAUUGCAUCACUCAAAGAUGAUCCCGCGUUGUAUUAGCUAGUUGGUGAGGUAAAGGCUCACCAAGGCGAUGAUACAUAGCCGACCUGAGAGGGCGAGUGGCCACAUUGGGACUGAGACACGGCCCAAACUCCUACGGGAGGCAGCAGUAGGGAAUCUUCGGCCAUGGACGAAAGUCUGACCGAGCAACGCCGCGUGAGUGAAGAAGGUUUUCGGGUCGUAAAACUCUGUUGGUAGAGAAGAACGUUGGUGAGAGUGGAAAGCUCAUCAAGUGACGGUAACUACCCAGAAAGGGACGGCUAACUACGUG